GGAUCAUCUAAAGGAAAAUUGUUUCAUGCGGGCUGGACCGCAUUUCUACAUAUGUGGUCAAGAAAGUGUAAAGCAUCCAUCUUAAAGAUGGAUGCCAGUAGGUGUUCCAUCUAAAAACAAUGGAAACUAACGGUCCAAAUAUUUUCUUACUAGAAUUAUUAUUUCUAGUUUUAAAAUUUAUUUAUUUAUUCAUAUUCAUGAUCUCCAUGUUAGAGAUUACAUGUCCUUAAAAAUAAAGUCUUAAAAUCCAUCUCAAAAAUAGAUUUAUUAAGAGGCCUGCAUUUCUAGAUAUGCGGGCUUGGCCUCAUAGAAACUGGGUCCAUAUCUAAAACUGGAUUGUAAAUUUUUUGGCUUUUGAGUUUCUUCCUCCCUCUUUUGUGAUACAAAAGAAAUGUACAUAUGUUUCAUCAAGUGCAAACAGAAGCCAACAUGGGCUCUGAACUAAAACCAAGCACAGAAAAAACAGAGGAGCAGAGAACAGGCCAAAUAGCAUCAUGAAAGAGUUAAGGUGGAACUUAUAAUUAAAAUAAACUAUGCUUUGAUCAUGGUUAUUUUGCUACAGCCAAAUUCCCUAGAAAAUGCAUACUGGGCACAUCCUCGAAAGACAACAAGAAUCAAGAAU
rnacentral:lncRNA from 1 species